UACAGUAUCUUUGGAGCUUGGAACAAGGGAGAGGUGAUGGUCACCCGUUUGUAUGAAGUGCAGCCAACCAGGGAGAAGAUGAUCUGCUGGAUCCUGCUGCUCAUCAACCCGACCUCCUGUGUCUGUGGAACAUUUGUAGUGAAUGUGACACAGACCUCCUAUCAGGCAGAGGAGAACCAUAACAUCACACUGGAAUGGACGUUCACAACCAACACUGACAGUUCCCUCAACUCUCUUUCUAUCUACUGUACACUGAUUACUGAUCACAAGGUUUCAGUCCUGUAUGAUCUACAUGAGGGUGUCGAGGUCUCAGAGUCUCAGGAUGAACAGUUUAAAGGACGAGUCCAGUGUGACAAAGACGUCCUCAGAGAAGGACGAAUCAGACUUCAUGUGUCCAGACUCAGGACUGAAGACUCGGGCCUGUACCUGUGUGAAGUGAGAACAAAUUAUGGUUUGAGCUCUGACAGAUGUCGACUCAAUGUCACUGCAGCUGCUGAUGAGCCCAAACCUCAGAGACCAACAGAGAGUCCACAACCAGAGAGUCCACAACCAGAGAGUCCACAACCAGAGAGUCCACAACCAGAGAGUCCGGGAAUGAUAAUCCUCUAUGUUGUACUGGGACUGGCAGCAGCAGCAGUUCUACUGGCUGUCUGUUGUUGUUACUUUAGACGAAACGAGAAACAACCCAUUAGGACUAACAGAUGAUGUUGAGAAAGGAAACGUUUAUGCAGUUGUAUAAAUGUUGAGUUUUAAGUGUCAGAAAACUAUUUGUAAUAUGAAAUGUAUAUUUUUUUGUUAAAUGGUGUUCAUGUUACUACAGGUUUAAGUUUAAAUGAAGUUAUGUAAUAAUGUAAUGUCAUAAAUGAGGUAAUGUUAAUGUUAAUGAUGCUUCCACUGUGAUCCCAGAUGUUCCAUGUUUGAUGUCAGACAGUUAACAUCAGAAGAAGAGCAAAGACAUCUAAACAGCCAUCGUCUGAUUGAUCCUCCACUGUAAGCUCUCUAAAAUGUCCCAGUUGUUUGAGUUGUCAGUGUAUGAAGAGUUUCUCAGAGGAAUCAUUCACAUUGAGCUGUAAGUUGGUUCACUCAUUGAUCGCUCUGUUCUCCCUCCAGCUGUUAUCAAUCAUCAGUCUUAAACAAUGAGUCUGAAUCAACAAGACAACAGAAUUAGAAGAGAAUUGUUCAUUAUUAUAUCUUAAUCCUCCUGAUGGAUAUUGUUACAAUGCACUGACUUUGUGCUCUUUAUAAUGUGUACAUAUUGUAAAUAAAUCUCUCUUUAUAUGAGAGAAGUUGUUAUGAAUCUUCUGUGAAUAUGUUCAAUAAAGUGCACACAGUGCAGAUCUCAGAUCUGUCUAAUAAGUGAUAGAGUUUGAUGAGGCGUCCUAUCAAAAUAAAGGACAGUGUAAAGGUGAACAACAGUGCAUUAUUUGUGUGUAUCAGUUGUGUACUAUGACUCUUAUACCAUGGCCACUUACUGAAGAAUAUAAAGGCAGGAUGGGUUUUAAUCUUUAGCAGCUUUUAACAUCAGAUAUUGUUGCUGGUUAAGGGAAGACAGACAGGAGACAAAAUGGUGGUUUGUCUUUAUUUCACUUUCAUUUUGGAAAAAGUAAUAAAAUGGAUUCAGCCCCUCCUCCAGUCACGGGUUUCCUGUUAAAGUCAUAAACCAGUAUUUCCUCUGUUGUUUGCUGCUCGUUCGCCUGCAAACACGUAAGUAACUAAAACCUUCUGUAUGUUUGAUGUAGCCCUGUAUAAAAAUCAUAUACAGGGCUCAGGUGACAGAGCAUAAAAAUAAUCUAACAGUAUAAUAACAUGCUGUAUUAAAAAAAGUUCAUAUAUAAAUAGAGUUCAUAAUAUUUAAAAAUGGUUAAAAUGUGUGCCAAUUAAAAGCAUAAAUAUAAUAUGUUAAGUUUAAUAAAUAAGACUAUUUACAGUUAAGAGAUACAUUCACAAAAUGUUCUUUAAGUUCAUUAAGUCUGUUAAAAUAUCUGUGGUCCGAGAGAAAAGAAGAGAGGAAGAAGCCGUGUUUACAUCAAUCUAACCCGUUACCUAUCACAUGUCAAUCAUUUCAUUCCUGUUUUGCCUUUGGUUGUGUUAAAAUUCACGAGCCAUUCACAGUAUGUGUAAGGAGUGGGAUUAGUGGCGCAGGUUAGUGUGGGGAGUAGUGAGCACGCAUGAGGAGAAAAAACAGAUGCUAUCGACCAGAGAGCCAAGAGAGGAGCCAUCUUGGUGUGGGGAGCAUUUAAGUUUUAUCGUGGAGGUCGACUACUCGUGGUCCUGAUAUAAACUUCUGUGUGACCUGCAUGAAGAUUAUUGCAUUUAAAGAACAGUUGUGGUGGUCAUUAUUAAAAUAGCAAACAUUAUUAAGGGUACACAUUCUUAAAGUAACAUAAUAAAAAGUUGUAUUUUUCCUACAACGAGCCCAGGGCCAGUCUCAUUGUAUUAACCACUCUAGCUUUAUUUUUUAACUACAUGGGACCUGGGUUACAUUGAUGUUUGUGUUUCAUAUUGGGUUCUUUAUUGAACUACUUUCAUCUUCAGCUGGAAACCUCCUCCAGGAUCUGAUCUUCACAUUUCUUACAGUUUUCCAGGAGUUGAUCAGUGACAGGACAAUGUGCACAAAUUCAGCAGCGAGAAAUAAAAAGGCUUUUCCUUUCCUGCUGUACUCUUCCUACUGAGUUAUUUAGUUCCUACUUAAGAUUUAGUUGAUGUUUGGAUAGAUGACACAAUUACUGUCUGCAUAGUUCCUCUGUGUUGAGUUCAAGUCCACAACAAGGAAAUGAAAUAAAAAUAUUUAAAUAUUCAACGUAAAUAUUCUGUAUUUUUACUGCAACUUUGGUGUUUUCUCUUUAUUGUUCUUUGUUUCAGCAAAUCUUCAUUAGUUAUUUUUCAUUUUGAUCUGAAUCAUUAACAACAGUUUUUUCUUUUUCCAGAUCAUUAUCUGACUGAUGCAAUGUUCACAUUCACCUAGCACAAACACAUGAACAGGUAGGACUUUGUUUCAAAGCUGAGGCUACUGCAGUAAAUGUCCACUGAGAUGAUCUGAAACAAGACUCUGCACUCUGAUGUUAACAGCUGUAGUAGCUCACAGUGUGUACAGUUGUGUAUUACAAUUGUAAUUGUUGUAUGGAAGCCCUGAGGGGGUAUGAUGACAAAGAUUGUGCUGAUUUUCUACGUCAGAUCUAAAUAGUUUCCUCUCCUGUUUAUGUGUAUCUCUUGUGGCUGAAAUGAGUAUUACAACAACAAACAUUGAAAAAAAUCACGCAUCGAACAACACUUUUCUUAUUCACAAAAAGAAACUUAGAAACCUGUUGAGUCUCUGUAACUCAUUUUAUAACAGUCUAGACCUUCUUUAUGUGAUAAGUGUCCUGACAUCACUUCUGUUAUGAUUGGGCUCUAUACAAAGAAAACUGAUUUUAAUAAAACUGAUCACCAUGACUUCUGUAUUUAUAACCACAUUUAUAAACAUUACAGACCUUAAAGGAAGAUCUUCUUCGUGCUGAGUGAUCUACCAAUCUGUCCUGUUUUAAUAAAGUUCUUCUUCCUCUAAUAAACCUGUCUCCUCUCUGACAGGGAGAAGAUGAUCUGGAUCCUUCUGCUCGUCGGCCUGACCUCCUCUGUCUGUGGUUAGUAGGACUGAAACUAACAAUUCAUUUCAUUAACGAUUAAUCUGCUGAUUAUUUCUGCCAUUAAUCCAAUCAAACUGUUUAUGAAUGUAAAGAAAGUUGUGAAAAAUCUCCCAUAAAGACUUCCAGAGGCCAAAGUGACGUCCUUAAACUGCUUCUUUAGUUCAACCAACAGUUAAAAACCAAACAUUAUUUCAUUCACUGUCAUAUAUUACAAAGACAAACAGCAAACCUGCCCAUAUGAGAAGCUGGAAGCAGCAAAUAUUUGGUUUUGUUGCACUAAAAAUGACAAUUAAUGUAAUCUAAUUUCUAUUUCAAUGGAUGAAUCACACACUAGUAGCUCUAGUGGUUAGUUUAUGUGUAAGUCUCAGUACAUCUGACAGAAAUGAGGUGAAGAUCGAUGUCUGACUCUACAUAACAUCUCUAUUGUGCCUCUCUUUGCCCUCUCUCUCGUCUACAGGGAUGUUUGUCUUGAAAAAGACUCCGACCUUCUAUCAGGCAGAGGAGGACGAUAACAUCACCAUCGGAUGGGACAGUCCCAUCAUGUCCCUCACCAUCCUGAGUUGUUUCUUCCAGUCAGAGCCUCUGAAGCUUUUCUAUGAAAUGGUUGACGGUGUGGAGUCCUCAGAGUCUCAGCAUCAGCAGUUUGCAGGACGGGUGCAGUGUGACAAAGGCGCCCUCAGAGGAGGACGAGUCAGACUUCAUGUGUCCAGAGUCACGACUGAUGACUCUGGACGUUACUGGUGUGAUCUGGCUGCUAAUUAUGACAAGAUCAGGAGAAGAUGGGGGCUAGAGACCACUGGUAAGCUGACUCAGCAGAACUCUAACCAGGACUCAUGUUUCAUUACACACUAAAAGUUUAUACAGUGGACCUAUUACCACCACUUCAUUAAAUGCAUGGCGUCAAGAUAAACAUUCUAAAUAAUAGUGUAGAUUUUUAACGUACAUUUUUUGGAAACAUUAUUUGAAAUAAAAAAACUGUUAUACUGGAUUACACCGAAUGUUAAGUAACUCUAUUUUAGGAAACAUUAUUACUUACAUAAGUACUUUGGUAUUUUGUUUUCACAGAAGAAAUAAGAGUUAUUU
rnacentral:lncRNA from 15 species